UACGAAGGGUGCUAGCGUUGUUCGGAAUCACUGGGCGUAAAGCGCACGUAGGUGGAUUUGUCAGUCAGGGGUGAAAUCCCGGGGCUCAACCUCGGAACUGCCUUUGAUACAGCAAGUCUUGAGUUCGAGAGAGGUGGGUGGAAUUCCUAGUGUAGAGGUGAAAUUCGUAGAUAUUAGGAAGAACACCGGUGGCGAAGGCGGCCCACUGGCUCGAUACUGACGCUGAGGUGCGAAAGCGUGGGGAGCAAACAGG
rnacentral:rRNA from 1 species